rnacentral:rRNA from 1 species
GGAGGGUGCAAGCGUUAUCCGGAUUCACUGGGUUUAAAGGGUGCGUAGGUGGAUUGGUAAGUCAGUGGUGAAAUCUCUGGGCUUAACUCAGAAACUGCCAUUGAUACUAUCAGUCUUGAAUACCGUGGAGGUCAGCGGAAUAUGUCAUGUAGCGGUGAAAUGCUUAGAUAUGACAUAGAACACCAAUUGCGAAGGCAGCUGGCUACACGAAUAUUGACACUGAGGCACGAAAGCGUGGGGAUCAAACAGGAUUAGAUACCCUGGUAGUCCACGCCCUAAACGAUGGAUACUCGGCAUUUGCGAUAAACUGCAAGUGUCUGAGCGAAAGCAUUAAGUAUCCCACCUGGGAAGUACGAUCGCAAGAUUG